ensembl:rRNA 5S_rRNA 5S ribosomal RNA
GCUUACAGCCACACCUCCCUCAGCACGCCCGAUCUCGACUGAUCUCAGAAGCUAAGCAGGGUCUGGCCUGCUUAAUACUUGGAUGGGAGACCGCCUAGGAAUCUCAGGUGUGCUGUAAGCC